AAACACAGAGAGGUGGGGAGGUGAGAGGCAGGAGCUGAACGCAGAGAGAGAAGUAGGAACCCAACGCCUCUGUUCAGUAAACACAGAGAGGUGGGGAGGUGAGAGGCAGGAGCUGAACGCAGAGAGAGAAGUAGGAACCCAACGCCUCUGUUCAGUAAACACAGAGAGGUGGGGAGGUGAGAGGCAGGAGCUGAACGCAGAGAGAGAAGUAGGAACCCAACGCCUCUGUUCAGUAAACACAGAGAGGUGGGGAGGUGAGAGGCAGGAGCUGAACGCAGAGAGAGAAGUAGGAACCCAACGCCUCUGUUCAGUAAACACAGAGAGGUGGGGAGGUGAGAGGCAGGAGCUGAACGCAGAGAGAGAAGUAGGAACCCAACGCCUCUGUUCAGUAAACACAGAGAGGUGGGGAGGUGAGAGGCAGGAGCUGAACGCAGAGAGAGAAGUAGGAACCCAACGCCUCUGUUCAGUAAACACAGAGAGGUGGGGAGGUGAGAGGCAGGAGCUGAA